UGAUCACAGUACAGCUGCUGAUUUACACGGACACGGAGCAGAAAACCUGACAUAACGCGAUGUAACAGACGCAGGUGUGCGGGCGUCAGCACAUGCGACGCGUUUGACGCUGGAAAUAGCAGGACAAUUAUGUGAAACGCGCCGUUCAGAUCCUGUGUCAUAUUAGUCAGGUAUAUUUUCCAGUGAUGUGCAUGAAGACAGAAACAAGAACAAGCACACAGGUAAAUAUUGCAGUUGCAUCCUGAGUGUUUAUUGUUAUUGUCUGGUACCUGCAUUUCUGCAAGGAUGCUGGAAACCCAUCAUAGUGUUUUGCAUUGGUCUCUGAUGCCCUUGUUAUGUGGAUGAAACAGUCGGCACAUCAUGGAAACCAAGCAGAACAGUGAAAGGCACAAUCACCAGAGACAUCAUGAUACACCAAUCAUUUUUUAAUACUCUAUUUGUACUUUGUUACUAUAAGGUGAACAUCUCUUCUCAUUAACAAUAUUGGGAAAAAAUACAAGCAUAUUUAUUUUU